rnacentral:tRNA from 1 species
GCGCAGUUAGUUUAGUGGUAGAAUCUCUGGUUUCCAACCAGAUGGCAAGGGUUCGAUUCCCUUACUGCGCA